rnacentral:lncRNA from 1 species
AAUACACCUCCAAAUAUAAAUAUAGGGUUAAUUGCAUGCUAGUCCCUGCAAACAGAGUAAAUUAUGAGUGUAUCCCUAUAAAGUUCAACUUUUAUACGUUGUCCUUACAAAACUCCUUAUAUUUUCAAACAUGUCCUUGUUGUUAAAAUCUGUUAAAAGAAUUUAGUUAACCAUAGGUUAAGUACUUAAUCCUAAUUAGUUAAUUAAGUGAAUUGACCUUUUUACCCCUCUUUAAUUAAUCGUUGGGAUUUUUGGAGGAACAUAUCUGUGAUGGUAAAAAAGUUAUUUCACUUAUAAAAUGGAUAGUACUUUAACGGUAAUAAACCAGAGGAAUAUAUUUGAAAAUAUUAGAAUUUUUUAAAAAAACAACAUAUAAAAAUUGAACUUUAUAGAAAUAUAUUUGUAAUUCACUUUGUUCAUAGGGAACUGUACGAAACUAACCCAUUCUUUUAGUAAUGCUUUGCUACUGUGUGNUUAGAAAAAUUUAGUUAACCAUAGAUUAAGUACUUAACAUUAGUUAGUUAAUGAGAUGAAUUAACCUUUUUACUCUUCUUCAAUUAACAGUUAAAAUUUUUGGAGAAAUAUAUUUGUCAUGGCAAAAAAAUCAUUUUACUUAUGAAAUAAAUAGUGCUUUAAUGAUAAUUAACCAGAAGAACAUAUUUAAAAAUAUUAAAAUUUUUAUAGUAACAAUAUACAAAAGUUGAACUUUAUAGAAAUAUAUUUGUAAUUUACUAUAUUUGUAAAGAUCUAUAUAAAAUUAAUCCUAUAAUAUAAUAUAAAAAAAAGACAGAUUAUGGGCUGUCCAUAUAGAGAGAGAUUACUAUGCUUCUA